AUACGUAGGUGGCAAGCGUUGUCCGGAAUUACUGGGCGUAAAGGGCGUGUAGGCGGGGGAUCAAGUCAGAUGUGAAAUUCCAUGGCUUAACUGUGGCGCUGCAUCUGAAACUGGUUCUCUUGAGUACUGGAGAGGAAAGUGGAAUUCCUAGUGUAGCGGUGAAAUGCGUAGAGAUUAGGAGGAACACCAGUGGCGAAGGCGGCUUUCUGGACAGUAACUGACGCUGAGGCGCGAAAGCGUGGGGAGCAAACAGGAUUAGAUACCCUGGUAGUCCACGCCGUAAACGAUGGAUACUAGGUGUAGGAGGUAUCGACCCCUUCUGUGCCGGAGUUAACACAAUAAGUAUCCCGCCUGGGGAGUACGGCCGCAAGGUUGAA
rnacentral:rRNA from 1 species